GUGGGGAAUCUUGCGCAAUGGGCGAAAGCCUGACGCAGCCAUGCCGCGUGAAUGAUGAAGGUCUUAGGAUUGUAAAAUUCUUUCACCGGGGACGAUAAUGACGGUACCCGGAGAAGAAGCUCCGGCUAACUUCGUGCCAGCAGCCGCGGUAAUACGAAGGGGGCUAGCGUUGCUCGGAAUUACUGGGCGUAAAGGGCGCGUAGGCGGACAGCUUAGUCAGAGGUGAAAGCCCAGGGCUCAACCUUGGAAUUGCCUUUGAUACUGGCUGUCUUGAGUGCGGGGGAGGUGAGUGGAACUCCGUGUGUAGGGGUGAAAUUCGUAGAUAUUCGGAAGAACACCAGUGGCGAAGGCGACUCACUGGCCCGUUACUGACGCUGAGGCGCGAAAGCGUGGGGAGCAAACAGGAUUAGAAACCCUUGUAGUCC
rnacentral:rRNA from 1 species